CCGCUGCCUUUGUUGUUGUUGCCUGGAGGAUAAUAUGAAAAUGUUCACUGUGUGGAAGGACAAAAAAGAAGUUGUGGCAACAACAGCUAUUCUACUGAGACUUCAUACGUGGAGAAGCCAAACACACACAAUGGAGAGAGACACGCUGUGGCCAAAACAAGGAGGGAUGCCACUUAGCUGUACAACCAACCACACUCCUGCUCAGGUGGGGGUAAACUAACCUAAUGACCUCAGCCAGCAUUACUUAUUUG